GAAAGUAUAACCUAUUUCUGUAGCUGGAGUAUUUGAAUCUCUUUCCCAAGUAUAACUCAGAUAUUUACUGUCCUUUGAAUGUUUCUAUCAGGUUGUCUUAGCAGCAGCAUCUCAUCUCACUUCAAAUUAGAAAGGCUUCUUGGUGGAAACGUGAAAUGGCUGAAAGGCUGGUACAUAAAAUAAAGAACACAGAACAAUCUUUUGGUGGUCACAGUAAUCAUCAGUGCCAUGUGAAUGAGAGCAGCAUUACUAACACCAGCAGUGAGGGCUGGCUGGAAGGACCAGUAUAUGGUAGUCAGAAAACUCAGUGUGUGCCCUUGAUGGGAGCUCUUGUAUGCUCAAGGCAGUCGUCAGCCAUAGCGACUGGGAAAACAGAGCUGUUGGAUGUGCCAGACUUCAAAAGAAGUGUCUGGAUGCAUGAAAAAGCAACUUGCUAUAAAGCCCACCAAGGUUAAUGCAUUUUCUUCCAGCAAUUGCAAAUUCAUUUUGUUCUCCUUUUCCACCUCCUCCCAAACUGUGUCAUUUUAAUCAAGUUUCUGUAAAAUACCAUUCUAAAUAGUUAUAUGCCGCAAGACUGAUUACUGGUUACAUGUAGAACGUGAGACAGGAGAAGGGAAGCUGAUUUUUGCUAUUGCCACAGGAGACUGUAUCCACUUUAUCUUAAUACUCAGCACAUAAGGUCACCAAGCCGAGCAUUAUCUUUUGAUAAGCAAAGUAGGUACAAUAUUACCUUUGAAAUAGCUAAGUGAUUUG
rnacentral:lncRNA from 1 species